UUGGAGGGCAAGUCUGGUGCCAGCAGCCGCGGUAAUUCCAGCUCCAAUAGCGUAUAUUAAAGUUGUUGUGGUUAAAAAGCUCGUAGUUAAACCUUGGGCCUGGCUGGCCGGUCCGCCUCACCGCGUGUACUGGUCCGGCCGGGCCUUUCCCUCUGUGGAACCCCAUGCCCUUCACUGGGUGUGGCGGGGAGACAGGACUUUUACUGUGAAAAAAUUAGAGUGCUCAAGGCAGGCCUAUGCUCGAAUACAUUAGCAUGGAAUAAUAGAAUAGGA
rnacentral:rRNA from 1 species